rnacentral:rRNA from 1 species
UACAGAGGGUGCGAGCGUUGUCCGGAAUCACUGGGCGUAAAGGGCGCGUAGGCGGCUUUGCAAGUGACGGGUGAAAUCCCACGGCUUAACCGUGGAACUGCCUGUCAGACUGCAUGGCUUGAGACCAGGAGAGGUGAGUGGAAUUCCCAGUGUAGCGGUGAAAUGCGUAGAUAUUGGGAGGAACACCAGUGGCGAAGGCGGCUCACUGGACUGGUACUGACGCUGAGGCGCGAAAGCGUGGGGAGCGAACAGG